ACUUUCAAAGGAUAGUAGUUAAUCCACUGGCCUUAGAAGCCACAAUCUCU
rnacentral:tRNA from 1 species